rnacentral:ncRNA from 2 species
GCUGGCAGCGCGGGAGAGACCUGCGUGAUUCGCAAUUGCUUAUGGCCGUUGCGCAUUACGAAUAGGCGCCGAAGGAGCAACCGCCCCGGAAACUCUCAGGCAAAAGGACCGCGCCUGCUGA